CCUACGGGAGGCAGCAGUGAGGAAUAUUGGUCAAUGGGCGCGAGCCUGACCCAGCCAAGUCGCGUGAGGGAAGACGGCCCUACGGGUUGUAAACCUCUUUUGCCGGGGAGCAACGGGCGCCACGUGUGGCGCCACUGAGAGUACCCGGAGAAAAAGCAUCGGCUAACUCCGUGCCAGCAGCCGCGGUAAUACGGAGGAUGCGAGCGUUAUCCGGAUUUAUUGGGUUUAAAGGGUGCGUAGGCGGAGCGUUAAGUCAGUGGUCAAGUUGAGGGGCUCAACCCCUUCCCGCCAUUGAAACUGGCAGUCUUGAGUACAGUAGAGGUGGGCGGAAUUCGUGGUGUAGCGGUGAAAUGCUUAGAUAUCACGAAGAACUCCGAUUGCGAAGGCAGUUCACUGGACUGCAACUGACACUGAGGCUCGAAAGUGUGGGUAUCAAACAGGAUUAGAUACCCCAGUAGUC
rnacentral:rRNA from 1 species